AACUGCUUGUUUCUCAGUGGGCCGCGCCGGCUGGCUCAUCGGAUUCUCUGGGUGUGGUCCCAUCCCUGACCCGCAGUCCGCACAAUCGAUAACAACAAAGCUACACGUCUGCAGCAAAACAGACUCACACAACACUACUCAAAAUGAACCGCAUAAUCGGUAACAAAUAUUCGGAACUACUAACUCAUGAACAAACUACACAGCUGUAACAACUAUGAAAAUGUAAACAACAAAGAUCGGGCCCCGGUUCCGGACCCAGCGUACCCGCCCUACCAUGAGACGAUCACCUCCACUCGUCUCCCUCAUUUUGGCCACUAAAUGGCCUAUAUUAGCCCGUGUCGGCCAUAAUGCCCACUCUCCCCAACAAUAUUAUUUUAGCCGGACAUGAUUUCUUUCAAUAGCUGUUUAGGAUCUCAUGCAAGCGGAUAAUUCAUUAACUUCACAGGUGCGUAUAAUGGUUUGUGUACUCUUAUAAUUAUUGGCAUUAAUAUUUCUUUUAUUUCUGUCCAAUUUGCACGAGGUCUCUAUUCAGGUAAAUUCGUAUUCAUGCA